UCCAGACUCCUACGGGAGGCAGCAGUGGGGAAUAUUGCACAAUGGGGGAAACCCUGAUGCAGCGACGCCGCGUGAGUGAAGAAGUAUUUCGGUACGUAAAGCUCUAUCAGCAGGGAAGAAAAAAAGUCCUUUGGACUUUGGACGGUACCUGACCAAGAAGCCCCGGCUAACUACGUGCCAGCAGCCGCGGUAAUACGUAGGGGGCAAGCGUUAUCCGGAUUUACUGGGUGUAAAGGGAGCGCAGGCGGCACGGCAAGCCUGAUGUGAAAGCCCGCGGCCCAACCGCGGGACUGCAUUGGGAACUACCGGGCUGGAGUGCCGGAGAGGUAGGCGGAAUUCCUAGUGUAGCGGUGAAAUGCGUAGAUAUUAGGAGGAACACCAGUGGCGAAGGCGGCCUACUGGACGGUGACUGACGCUGAGGCUCGAAAGCGUGGGGAGCAAACAGGAUUAGAUACCCCGGUAUC
rnacentral:rRNA from 1 species